GAUGAACGCUAGCUACAGGCUUAACACAUGCAAGUCGAGGGGCAGCGGUAUCGGAAGCUUGCUUUCGGUAGCCGGCGACCGGCGCACGGGUGAGUAACGCGUAUCGAGCCUGCCUCAUACUCGGGAAUAGCCUUGCGAAAGUAAGAUUAAUGCCCGGUGUUUUCAGAGUCCCGCAUGAGGCUUUGAACAAAGAUUUAUCGGUACGAGAUGGCGUUGCGUCCCAUUAGCUUGUUGGCGGGGUAACGGCCCACCAAGGCAUCGAUGGGUAGGGGUUCUGAGAGGAAGGUCCCCCACAUUGGAACUGAGACACGGUCCAAACUCCUACGGGAGGCAGCAGUGAGGAAUAUUGGUCAAUGGGCGGAAGCCUGAACCAGCCAAGUAGCGUGCAGGAAGACGGCCCUCCGGGUUGUAAACUGCUUUUAGUUGGGAAUAAAACGGGGCUCGUGAGCCCCCUUGCAUGUACCAUCAGAAAAAGGACCGGCUAAUUCCGUGCCAGCAGCCGCAGUAA
rnacentral:rRNA from 1 species